UAGUAACGAGGCUACUUGGCUUCUCACAGAUCUACUCUCCAGGAGGGACAGACCAGCACAAAAGCUCUAAGAUGAAGGCUUUCUUCCUCCUACUCCUUUUCUGUCUUGUGACCCUGAUUGAGAUGCAGAGUGCUUCCCAAACUCCACCAACCACACAGCCUGCAAGCAGUUCAUCUCAGAUGUUCAAUGGAGCCUGCACCUGGGCGGCCCUUCUCUUCUCUGGCAUCUUCUCCUACCUCCUGGGGCUGCACUGAGGCCUGGAGCCACGACUUCAGAGACCACUGGCCUGGGCCCCUGCUCCCACACUCUUCAGCACUUGCCUCCUCCCUGAGGAGCCCAUCCUGUGUGGCCCACCAAAGCGUCCUCUCCUCUGGGCCAUCCCCCUCUCCCCUCUCACCACGGCCCCCUCCUCAGGAGCUCUGAUGUCCAGGAGAACCCCAGCCAGCUCGAGUCAUGAGCAGAUUCCAGGAUGCUUGAGGGCUCUCGUGAUGGAGGAGCAAAGUACUGAUCUGCUUGACCCAAUAAAGAUAUUGGAGCCCUGAA